rfam:Canis lupus familiaris chromosome 21, whole genome shotgun sequence.
AGGAGGAACAGCCCCAGUGGCGGGGCAGCUCUGCAGCCCUGGAUUCAGCCCCCGCAGGAACUCCGGAGCUCUCCGUCUGCAGGGCCUGGAGGCUCCGGGCGGGG